rnacentral:rRNA from 1 species
CCUUAACCUGCUAAGGUAGGUGCGCGGUCGCUUGACGUGCGUGCGUUCUUAGAGGGACAGACUACGUUUAGUAGUUGGAAGUUUGAGGCAAUAACAGGUCUGUGAUGCCCUUAGAUGUUCUGGGCUGCACGCGCGCUACACUGAUAGAGGCAGCGAGUGAUAUAAAGUCCUUGACCGGCAGGUCUGGGUAAUCUUGUGAAACUCUAUCGUGCUGGGGAUAGACCUUUGCAAUUAUCGGUCUUCAACGAGGAAUUCCUAGUAAGCGCAAGUCAUCAGCUUGCGUUGAUUACGUCCCUGCCCUUUGUACACACCGCCCGUCGUUACUACCGAUUGAAUGGCUUAGUGAGGCGUCUGGACGUGACGUGUUGCCGCGAGGCGAUGGUGUCGUGGAAGUUGGUCAAACUUGGUCAUUUAGAGGAAGUACAAGUCG